rnacentral:tRNA from 1 species
GGUGAUGUGGCCGAGUGGUUGAAGGCGCUCCCCUGCUAAGGGAGUAUGUAGUUGAACUACAUCGAGGGUUCGAAUCCCUCUUUCACCG